rnacentral:rRNA from 2 species
GACUCGUCACACUAUCAUUAACUGAAUCCAUAGGUUAAUGAGGCGAACCGGGGGAACUGAAACAUCUAAGUACCCCGAGGAAAAGAAAUCAACCGAGAUUCCCCCAGUAGCGGCGAGCGAACGGGGAGGAGCCCAGAGCCUGAAUCAGCAUGUGUGUUAGUGGAAGCGUCUGGAAAGGCGCGCGAUACAGGGUGACAGCCCCGUACACAAAAGCGCAUGUGCUGUGAGCUCGAUGAGUAGGGCGGGACACGUGGUAUCCUGUCUGAAUAUGGGGGGACCAUCCUCCAAGGCUAAAUACUCCUGACUGACCGAUAGUGAACCAGUACCGUGAGGGAAAGGCGAAAAGAACCCCGGCGAGGGGAGUGAAAAAGAACCUGAAACCGUGUACGUACAAGCAGUGGGAGCACCCUUUGGGGUGUGACUGCGUACCUUUUGUAUAAUGGGUCAGCGACUUAUAUUCUGUAGCAAGGUUAACCGUAUAGGGGAGCCGGAGGGAAACCGAGUCUUAACCGGGCGUUAAGUUGCAGGGUAUAGACCCGAAACCCGGUGAUCUAGCCAUGGGCAGGUUGAAGGUUGGGUAACACUAACUGGAGGACCGAACCGACUAAUGUUGAAAAAUUAGCGGAUGACCUGUGGCUGGGGGUGAAAGGCCAAUCAAACCGGGAGAUAGCUGGUUCUCCCCGAAAGCUAUUUAGGUAGCGCCUCGUGAAUUCAUCUCCGGGGGUAGAGCACUGUUUCGGCUAGGGGGCCAUCCCGGCUUACCAACCCGAUGCAAACUGCGAAUACCGGAGAAUGUUAUCACGGGAGACACACGGCGGGUGCUAACGUCCGUCGUGAAGAGGGAAACAACCCAGACCGCCAGCUAAGGUCCCAAAGUCAUGGUUAAGUGGGAAACGAUGUGGGAAGGCCCAGACAGCCAGGAUGUUGGCUUAGAAGCAGCCAUCAUUUAAAGAAAGCGUAAUAGCUCACUGGUCGAGUCGGCCUGCGCGGAAGAUGUAACGGGGCUAAACCAUG